rnacentral:rRNA from 1 species
GCGUUAGGAAUCUGCCUAUUAGUGGGGGACAACAUUCCGAAAGGAAUGCUAAUACCGCAUACGUCCUACGGGAGAAAGCAGGGGACCUUCGGGCCUUGCGCUAAUAGAUGAGCCUAAGUCGGAUUAGCUAGUUGGUGGGGUAAAGGCCUACCAAGGCGACGAUCUGUAGCGGGUCUGAGAGGAUGAUCCGCCACACUGGGACUGAGACACGGCCCAGACUCCUACGGGAGGCAGCAGUGGGGAAUAUUGGACAAUGGGGGGAACCCUGAUCCAGCCAUGCCGCGUGUGUGAAGAAGGCCUUAUGGUUGUAAAGCACUUUAAGCGAGGAGGAGGCUACUAGUAUUAAUACUACUGGAUAGUGGACGUUACUCGCAGAAUAAGCACCGGCUAACUCUGUGCCAGCAGCCGCGGUAAUACAGAGGGUGCGAGCGUUAAUCGGAUUUACUGGGCGUAAAGCGUGCGUAGGCGGCCAUUUAAGUCAAAUGUGAAAUCCCCGAGCUUAACUUGGGAAUUGCAUUCGAUACUGGAUGGCCUAGAGUAUGGGAGAGGAUGGUAGAAUUCCAGGUGUAGCGGUGAAAUGCGUAGAGAUCUGGAGGAAUACCGAUGGCGAUGGCAGCCAUCUGGCCUAAUACUGACGCUGAGGUACGAAAGCAUGGGGAGCAAACAGGAAUUAGAUACC